UUCCUACGGGGGGCUGCAGUGAGGAAUAUUGGUCAAUGGGCGGAAGCCUGAACCAGCCAUGCCGCGUGCAGGAUGACGGCCCUACGGGUUGUAAACUGCUUUUGCGCGGGAAGAAUAACCCCCUCGUGAGGGGGGAUGCCGGUACCGCGCGAAUAAGGAUCGGCUAACUCCGUGCCAGCAGCCGCGGUAAUACGGAGGAUCCGAGCGUUAUCCGGAUUUACUGGGUUUAAAGGGUGCGUAGGCGGGCGCCUAAGUCAGCGGUGAAAGGCAGCGGCUCAACCGUUGAACUGCCGUUGAAACUGGGCGCCUUGGAUUCGGUCGAGGUUGGCGGAAUGCGUGGUGUAGCGGUGAAAUGCUUAGAUAUCACGCGGAACGCCGAUUGCGAAGGCAGCUGACCAGGCCUGAAUCGACGCUGAGGCACGAAAGCGUGGGGAUCAAACAGGAUUAGAUACCCUGGUAGUC
rnacentral:rRNA from 1 species